UGUGACAACAACAACAACAACAAAUAUGGCGGAAUCUGUAUUGUCAAACACGGAAGAGAAGGAUACAACCAUAAUUAAACCAAGAAGUUUAUGAAGAAGGGAUCACUGGAUUUUGUCACUUUGGUACAAGAAACAGAAAAGGAUAUCAUAGACCACCUUACUUAUACGGAAGCUUAGGAGCUGUUGAAGGAAAUUGCUGCCAGACAGUCAACAGUUAUCACUGACAGCCUGUCCUGGCCCAGCUGGGACCAUCCUCAAGCUAACCAUGAUGAUGUGUUUGCAAGAAUUGUCCAUUUGAAAAAGGGUUAAAAGUGGUGACUGAUCCUCUCACCCUCCUUAUCCAGGAAACGUUUCGGAACAACGUGUUGGCACUGAAGAUGUGGAGGACACAGAUUGAUCACAGUACAUCCUUUGGAUACAUGAACACCUUUAACGGGACGACAACAAAACUGUACCUGCCUUUUUUUUGAAAGGAAGUAGUUAAUAAAAUUAUUGUUAACAGCUUUUUUAGUCUUGUUGUUUAAGAAUGCUUGCAACAUUUAAGUGGAUAAACGGUUGUUUUAAAUUUGAAGCUUCAGUAAUGCAUUCUUUAUUAAAUGAUGUAAUCUUAUUUCUUUCAAUAUAGUGUAAAUAAUAAGAACAUAAUUAUCCUUUGUAUACAAAAUGAAAACCAAGUUUACUGUUCUAUUAAUCAUUAUUUAUUUAUCUUGUUCUUUUGUCAGAAAUAUUACAGGGGCAUACAUACAGUAUUCCUUAAAUAAAAGGGGCAGUUCUUAGAAAAUUAACAUGUAUUUUAGCAAUGCAUAUUCAAACUUUUUCCACAUUUAUAACCAGCAACAAUAUGUAAGUAUUAUAAUGUAACACAAAUUAAUACUAUGAAUUUACUACUGAUUUUGCCGUGCCUGUCAUCAAAUAAACAUGUUUUACUUAACGUUUCUUAAAAGAUGUU